rnacentral:lncRNA from 1 species
CAGGUAGCUGAGGCUGUGGCAACGUUUCUUGUGCGCAACAAGUUUGCCGAGCCUACGGCGAAUUUUCAACAGACAUUUCCAGCGUGCUAAAUUUGACUCAAGUUGUAUUGUCUUAUGCACUACUGCACAAAUAAAAUGUUGCGUUAUGUUGGAAA